UACGGAGGGUGCGAGCGUUGUCCGGAAUCACUGGGCGUAAAGGGCGCGUAGGCGGCAUGCCAAGCGUGUGGUGAAAGCCCGGGGCUCAACCCCGGGUCGGCCGUGCGGACUGGCGUGCUUGAGCACUGUAGGGGCGAGUGGAAUUCCUGGUGUAGCGGUGGAAUGCGCAGAUAUCAGGAGGAACACCAAUAGCGAAGGCAGCUCGCUGGGACGGUACUGACGCUAAGGCGCGAAAGCGUGGGGAGCGAACGAGG
rnacentral:rRNA from 1 species